rnacentral:rRNA from 1 species
GUUAGGAAUAUUGGACAAUGGGCGAAAGCCUGAUCCAGCCAUGCCGCGUGAACGAUGAAGGCCUUCGGGUUGUAAAGUUCUUUAGCCGAUGAUUAUAAUGACUGUAGUCGGAAAAUAAGCCCCGACUAACUUCGUGCCAGCAGCCGCGGUAAUACGAAGGGGGCGAGCGUUAUUCGGAAUCACUGGGCGUAAAGCGUGCGUAGGCGGUUUUGUAAGUUAGGAGUGAAAGCCCAGGGCUCAACCUUGGAAUUGCUCUUAAAACUGCAAGGCUCGAAUCUCGGAGAGGAUAGCGGAAUUUCCAGUGUAGCAGUGAAAUGCGUAGAUAUUGGAAGGAACACCAGUGGCGUAAGCGGCUAUCUGGACGAGUAUUGACGCUGAGGCACGAAAGCGUGGGGAUCAAACAGGAUUAGAAACCCUGGUAGUCC